rnacentral:rRNA from 1 species
UACGAAGGGUGCAGGCGUUAAUCGGAAUUACUGGGCGUAAAGGGUGCGUAGGCGGUUCGUUAAGUCUGUCGUGAAAUCCCCGGGCUCAACCUGGGAAUGGCGAUGGAUACUGGCGAGCUAGAGUGUGUCAGAGGAUGGUGGAAUUCCCGGUGUAGCGGUGAAAUGCGUAGAGAUCGGAAGGAACACCAGUGGCGAAAGCGGCUUCCUGGUCCAGCACCGACGUUCAGGCACGAAAGCGUGGGGAGCAAACAGG